UACGGAGGGGGCUAGCGUUGUUCGGAUUACUGGGCGUAAAGCGCGCGUAGGCGGACCUGCAAGUCGGGGGUGAAAGCCCGAGGCUCAACCUCGGAAUUGCCUUCGAUACUGCGGGUCUCGAGUCCGGGAGAGGUGAGUGGAAUUCCUAGUGUAGAGGUGAAAUUCGUAGAUAUUAGGAAGAACACCAGUGGCGAAGGCGGCUCACUGGCCCGGUACUGACGCUGAGGCGCGAAAGCGUGGGGAGCAAACAGG
rnacentral:rRNA from 1 species